UAUAUAUAUUCACGCAGACAUAUAUAUAUAUAUACAUAUAUCUAGAAAGAUAAAUAAAAUAUAGGGUGUUUCUAAGAGAUACAUAUGUAAUCAUAUUUUUAGAAUAAACCAAUAUUUUACGUGUAUAUGAUUUAAUACUGUAAAAUAAAAAAUAAAGUUCCCCGUCUCUGCAUGGGUUCUCUCUGGAUAUCCCUCUUCCCGCAGUCGGGGUUUAGGUUACUUGAUGAUGAUGAAGAUUGCCCAUAGGUGUAUAAAUGUGAGAAUAAUUCUCUGUCAGCUCUGAUUGACUGACGACCGUCUCUUGCCCGAUGCUGGUUGAUUGACUUUUAGAAUAUUGAUGAUGCAUCCUUAUUCAAACUUACACAUUCUUUUAUUUUAUACCCUGUUAUUACAUUAACUUUGCAUAUUGGCCAGGAUGGAAUCUAUGUUCAUAAUAUUAUAGACACACUUCAAGUAAUUAUUUUUAAUUUACUUCUUAAUUUGAAUUAAUUGUCUAAUGAAUCUUUCCCUCAGAAUAUGCUUGUCAAUAUAUACAAAUGAAGAUAAAAUGAGACCAAAUUUGGGGGGGGGAAAUGGGACAAUUAACAUGUUGUCGGUUUUAACCACCAGGUGGCGGAUUAGGAGCAUUUUCAGACCCAAUCAAGAUCAAUUUAUUAAACAUUCUUCAUUUAUACAGUAAAUAAAAGGGCCAUGAAAUAGACUAAAGGUAACUCAACAAGUGAAAGUAAUGAAUUUGAAACCUUGUAUAGAAAAACAAUGUCUGAAAGACUCAACGUGUAAUUAAUGACAUAUCAUAACCGUCGAUAGUUUAAGACAGAAACAAUUAAAAAAAACUGUAUAUAUCAAUAUUUUGUCCAAUUACUAAAUUCUCUUCAAAUCUUCAAAAUUGAACUGUACUUAAUAUGUCCAAGUAUAUUUGGUCAUGCUGAUGAUGAAAUAAGAAAACAUAUGUUAUUCAUCUACACAAUAAAGUAAUAUACCAUCUCCUACUCUGUUCUGGAGCUUUCAAGUCAAUCACAUGGUUUUUAUCCAAAGAUGGAUAAAAAAUCAAUGCUUAAAAUGAACUAUGAUAUAAAGUAUAAAUACACGAUAAAAUAGCACAAUAUAUAUGAAGGAAAGUAUACAUGAGGAGGCAAAACAAUAAUAAAAGAUGAUGUGAACUAUUCACUGUGAUGAAUCACUUUGUUAGCUCUAUGCGUGGACAGUAGUACUGGUAGUACAUAUAUACAUGUAGUGGUAGUAGUCCUGGUAGUACAGCAGAGUACAGCAGGUGGAGCCACAGACCGCAUGUUAAACACCGAGAUCUUCGUCUGAUUCCGUUUCAGUUUGUAGAAAUAAAGAUAAAUUGAAACUGUACUAAAAAUAUGUUUCUAUACUUAGAAUGUGUAGUUUUACUUAUUUUAUGUUCAUAUGUUUGUUAAGGAUUAUUGUUUUAUUUAAUACUUUAUGUAAAUUUGAUGUUAAUGCCUCGCCAGACGCGUCGAUCUUUUUCACAUGAACAUUGGCAGAAAUGUACUUUUUUUAAACUGCAUAUAUGACAUUUGAGUUCAAGAUUUGUUCAGUUUAUUUUACUUAACCGUCACGAAAAAAUCAGGAGGAAUACUCUCAGUUCAUUGUGUUUAAGUAAAUCUGUCAAUUGAGUUCCCACUACGCACCGUUGAUAAAUUGCUAUAUUAAUACUUUUUAAAAUAUAGUAGAACAAUAAUAGAUGCAAUGUAAUUCAAACUGUGGCACAAUGAAAAAAUAAUUAAAUCACAUUAUUGCAUAAUCAGUAGAGAAGACAGAAAUGUUAAAAUAUCAAACUAAAGUCAAGAUGUUUAUAACAAAUCAACUUUUAUAAAAAGAUUAUAAGCAUAAUUCAAGGCUAGACGUUUUUAAUUAACAUUACCUUCCUGAUUUACAACACUACACAUUUCUUUGCUUUCCUCCUCCAUGCUGUUCUCAUAAAUACUGUGUGAACGUUAAAUUAAGAAUAUUAUUUUCAUUCUUCUUAACAUUUAAGAACAUUCUCCGAUGCUCGUUUUAUUUUCUUCUUCUUUAAAGAAGUAUACCUCAAAUAAAUUCACAAAAACACAGAGUUAUGAAUUUAAUCUUCAUAGCCAGUAGUUUUGGUCAAAGUGUGAUAUGAAUUGUGUUUAUUUUAAGUUCUCUUUUAGAUGUUUGUGAUGUAACUUCAUCAAACAAGCUAUUGUUGUGUAAAGUACAUAAAUACUUGGUAGAAUGAAGACAAACAUUUCCUCCCACCUGACCACAGGAAAUACAUUUCAAAUGUUUAAAGAUGUUGGGUUUACAGUAAAAUUCAUUCAUUUAUUUUUAUGUAAAUGACACAUGUUGCACCUGUGAGGUAAAUGGAACAUUACAGCCAGCAUGUUAAAAUCAAUUCAUAAACAGUAGUGAAUCUAUUGUGUUAAUUACAUGAGCUGUUUUCCAAAACUAUACAGUAUAAUUGGGCAUUCAAAAUCAAUAUAGAAUUCCCCAAAAUACAGCAAAAAUCAGUGAAAACAUGAAUCAUUCCGUCUACUUUCCUCUGAAUCUGAUUCUUGGUAUUAUUUGUACAAGUAUUGCUGACUUGUCGACAUGAAGCUAAUCAGUAAUUAGCUGCUUAAUCGUUAGCAUGUGGAGGAGCUGAUGCCACAGGAUCACCUGUAUUUAAACACCUGUGUGUGAGUGAGUCUGAUUCUGGAUCAUUUCAGGUCUCGGUGCCUUUUAGGGUUUCACAGGAUUAAGGAAAUGUAUCGACGAUGUCUAAUUCAUAGUUACUGAUUCUCAAGUAUGAUUAAUAUUUGAAGAGACAGAUAAAUGUGUGGCUGCACACCAGCUAACAACCUAAACUCUGUUAGCUUUUCAGUAUUACCUUCCACAUGUUUUUUUCUUUAUUUAUAAAAUCCAUAAAAACCUGAAUAACUUUCUCAGACUAAGUGUAGCUUAUAUAUUUUUGUAAAAUUCCAUAUUUAAAAGGUGGCCCGAACAUUUUUGGCAUCUUUUUUUAACUAAAAUGACGAAUAUGAUUAAUGGAUAAGCAAAAUGAUAAUUAUUUAAUUAAAUGUCAAUUGACUAAUCCGUUCAUUUAUUUAAUACUAUUAAUGACAUCUACAUAUACAAUACAUUAUAGUCAGCUAUAUCAUUUAUGACCAUAAAAGCAACCAAAUCAAAAUCUUAGGAUUGUGUGUUUAAUCAAAAUGUCUUUGUUUGACGUGUCUCACAUGUUGUACAUUUACUUGUAUUGUGUUUCUACACAUUGAAGCCACUUUUCAGUGCAAAGCGUUCGGCUUUCCUCUGCUGCCUCGUGUCACUCAAAUCAAUUCUGGCAUUGUGAUCGUUUUACUGCACAGAAUACAUGUUUGAAUCCUCUCUCCUGUUAGCCCUCAUUCACAUUAAGGUACACGGCUUAUUUUCUGCCUUUUUGCCGGGAUUCCUCAGUGCUCGCAAUGGUGCGAUCUCGGUGGUGACCACCAGGGGGCGACUCCUCUGGUCCUAUAGAAGUCUAUGAGAAAAUGACUACUUCUCUCUUGAUUUACUCCCUCUGUAAAUAUUGUAAACAUGAGUUUAUGGUCUCAAUCUGUAGUUUGUAGUCUUCUUUAAUACAGCGUGAUGUUCAUUUAGUAAAUGAUGGUCCAUUUAGAGGCAGACAGCCCAGAAAGCGGAGGACGCUUCAGGGCGGGGCUACACCAUGACAGUACUUUCACUCUGAAAACCGAAGGCCAAACUUGAGCUUUUUCGAACUGAGCUGAUAUCUUCUGUCGCCAAAUGGAGCCCAGAUUCCUACUUCAUCAAUAAGAACGGAAAUAAAAACUUAAUUCUCCAAUCGGCCCCCGAGAGUUCAACCACACCGAAGAGACGAGAGGACGGAGGCACCGACGCAUCCACGCACACACCCGUCCAUCGAGUGAUUCAAAGUUGUUCCCGUCUCUAACCGGCUGACGGGGGUCCAACGCGUCGCCCUGGGGGGAUAAUUAAGAACCUGCAUCGUCGUGUCUCAAGUGUUUAAUAACACCGACCCACGUGUCCUCCUCUUCAACGGAGGCAUUCUUUCCGCUGUUUUUUUUUUUUAAAGAUCUGACUUGGAUUGGACAAACGGAUUUUGUCCCAAACCUCUCAAAUGGGGUUAGGGGUGGGGGGGUGGGAGGGGACUGUCUUUGUGUCUUUAACACUCAGAACCUCUUGAAUAAUGACAGCAAUGAUAAGCAUUCAGAGAUGACAAAUGGAAGCGUCUGCAUUAUACAUGGCUGCUUUGUUGGGACGAUGUUCAUCCGAGCACUUAAGUCUCUCCGAACCUGAUGAGCUCCUCCUUCAGGUUUCUGCCCCAUUUCCCCCCCACCUCCCCGCCCUCCUCUCCUCCUCUUCUUCUGGAUAUACAUCUGCAGGAAGCAUUAAUGUUUAAACCCGCGUGUUUUGUCUGAGCGGCAGUUUGUUUUGUCAUUAAAAUAUGGAAGAGCGGCUCUCAUUGUUUCGUGUCCGCUUUUUCUGAAAGACAAAUCUGCUAAGUGAAAUCACGGUGAAAUAUUAAUCGGAUGAGUUGAUUUACAUUUAUGUAACACUUUGCAUACGAUAAAUCGAGCUAAAGUGAGCGAGAGCGGUUCUGUCAUGAGGAAGAGAGCCGAGGAAACAAAUCGCACCACAAGCCCUCCAACACAAAGCUGCAGGAACGAGUUCGAAAACAAGAGGACGAGUCAGCAGUUUGUUUACUUCCUGUUUCCGCGUCUUGAAGGCAUUUUUAAAAAUAAGGUUUUGAUGAGAUUUUAACCUUUUUUUUCUAAUAAAUAAAACACGGUUUGUUACUUUCAAUAAUUAUUGUCGCUGUUCAAGAGCAAACAAAGCUUUAAAAUAUGUUAUUUUCUUGAUUUAUUAUAAAAUGAGUAAGUAUUUAAAUCUGUGUUUAAGUUAGUUAAGUUAGUCCACUCCAAAAAACAGCAAAACCAUCUAGUUCCUUAACGCACCACCUUCAUUUUAGUUCCUGAACACACCACCUACAUUUUAGUUCCUUAACAAAUCACCUUAAUUCUAGUUCCUGAACACCACUCUGCCGUGACCUCCUGGGGGCCGCGGGCCUCGUGUUGGGCCCCUGUGCUGGUUUAUCUGUAGCCUGACGGCUCCCAGCGGGAGAAUUCAACAUAAUAGUUUCUUCUGAAUGUAGUUUUGUGAUUUAAAUUGCUAAUUAUAAUGGUGAUGGAACAAAUAAAUAAAACAUGACCUUAGCGUGUUUUUAUCUCUCACUGUAAAAACUCUGGCGGUCAGUAAAUCAGCCGCGGUGGCGUUCCGGCGAUGACUCGUCUGUUGUUGGGUAAAUGCUCCGUAAAUGUCACUCUGGAAAACAACAUUGCAGUGGGUUUAAUGUAUUUAAUGACAUGAACAGUUAUUUACAUUUGUUCCUCUUCUUUUGUGUCCCAUAAUUCCACUUUUCAGGAUCAAUGUUUAUUUUGUAAUUUCCUUUUAUUUGACUUAAAAAUCUCCCUUCAUGAGUUUUAAUGUAAACCAACAAAAGUUUGAAUGUUUCACAUUCCGCAUUUGUCACAAUAACUCAAACUAACAGGUUGAAUGUUUUCGCUUCUUUUUGUCUUCUGUAAGUCAAAAACCAAUAAUCUGUUGACACAUGUGGUAUUUCACUGUCCGACACUAAAAUAGAAAACGCAUCGACAGGAUGUGAAGAGGCUGCGGCCCUCUGGGGGCUGUAGGAACUCAGCACAUACAAUGGAUGCAUGUAAGGACUCCAACAUAAUUUAUUUUCAUCAUGCAACAAAAUGCACUCGCAGCCCGUUUGCUGCACACGAGGAACAUGACGCACAAAAGCUAAAAGCAGUCAUGUGUUCCUGCAGUGCAACGUUAAACAUCUGCAUCAGGAGGAAGAUAAACAGCGGCCCUGAAAGCAGAUGACACGGCCGACUCAAUAAGACCAUGAAUCUUUCACCGACUUCUGUCCCUGAACCUUUUAGAAUUUUUAGAGGCAGCAAACGAUUUGGGAGUUUUAAGAUAAUCUUUGUAAAACAUCCGAUGUUCCCUUCGAUUGUCCCGUAAAACACGUUAAGAGACGUGACGCUCAGUGUGGACUCCUUCCUAAUAUCAUGAUUUGAUAAUGGUUCAAAGGUCGAAGUAGUAGUAGUUCAUAGUACAGAGGUCAUGGUAGUAAUACCUUAUAGUAUGGAGGUAACAGUAUUAAUACCUCAUAGCACGGAGGUAACAGUAUUAAUACCUCAUAGCACGGAGGUAACAGUAGUAAUACCUCAUAGUACGGAGGUAACAGUAGUAAUACCUCAUAGAACGGAGGUAACUGUAGUAAUACCUCAUAGUACGGAGGUAACAGUAGUAAUACCUCAUAGUACGGAGGUAACUGUAGUAAUACCUCAUAGAACGGAGGUAACUGUAGUAAUACCUCAUAGAACGGAGGUAACUGUAGUAAUACCUCAUAGUACGGAGGUAACAGUAGUAAUACCUCAUAGUACGGAGGUAACAGUAG
ensembl:lncRNA